UUUAGGGUUUCCAUUAUGCGUCUUCACUUCAUCUUCCAUUCGUUUUUCUCUCCGGUUUACUUCCUCUCAACGCGUCUUCAUCCUUCGCAACUCGUCUUCAAUCUCUGUACACUACUCGUCCUUUAAGCCGUUUAAUCCUUCCAAUCGAAAUCAUCCCCUCUCUUCAAUCCUUGUAACGACAUUGAUUUUUCUUUCAUUUCGAAAAUUUUUUUUCCCUUUUUUCGUCAACUCACCUUCAACAUAUUCCGGUUUAGGUUUGGCCGUCGUUUUCUUCUCAGCAAUUUUUACUUCUUCUAUCUUCCUUUCUCUCACACUCUUCGUCCUCCCAGUUAUCGUUAGGCUUCGCUCACCGUGUUGCCUUCGAAACAAAUGGGUCUUCUUUCGGUUUCGUUGAUCGGCUGUGUUUUACAUUUUGCCUCCGAAACCUUUUCGUUAUUGGUGAACAUGCAAUCCAACUCGGUUUUCCCCUUUCAGAAGACCUUGCCGCUUGGACUCCCACUUGCCGAUCAUGUAAUUUUUUUCCCUCUGAUUUGGACACAUUCUAAACCACGAAUACUAUCUGCAGUUGGGAUGUUCGAGCAAGGUAUGGUCCGAGGAUAUCUGACUUCCUACUUCGUUCGUUAGAGGUACGAGGCAUUGGAGCUUUAUAUUGUACUACUUUAUUUUCAAGUAUUGUCAGUUAAUACUUUUGCAUUCUUCUAUAUUGUACUUCGGACUUUAGUCAGUAUAUUUGGUAAUAAAGAAUUCUAUUUUUUUUCA